rnacentral:rRNA from 1 species
UGUAGUGAACCUGACGGAAGGAUCAUUA